GAUGAACGCUAGCGGGAGGCUUAACACAUGCAAGUCGUGGGGCAGCACAGGUAGCAAUACUGGGUGGCGACCGGCGCACGGGUGAGUAACGCGUAUGCAACCUACCCAGUACAGGGGGAUAGCCCGGAGAAAUUCGGAUUAAUACCCCAUAAUGAUAUAGAGAGGCAUCUUUUUAUAUUUAAAGCUCAGGCGGUACGGGCUGGGCAUGCGGAACAUUAGCUAGUUGGCAGGGUAACGGCCUACCAAGGCUGCGAUGUUUAGGGGACCUGAGAGGGGGAUCCCCCACACUGGUACUGAGAAACGGACCAGACUGCUACGGGAGGCAGCAGUGAGGAAUAUUGGUCAAUGGGCGCAAGCCUGAACCAGCCAUCCCGCGUGAAGGAAGAAGGCGCUAUGCGUUGUAAACUUCUUUUCCAGGGGGUGAAUUUUCCGGUCGUGACCGGGAUUGACGGUACCCUGGGAAUAAGCAUCGGCUAACUCCGUGCCAGCCGCCGCCGUAAGAC
rnacentral:rRNA from 1 species